CCACCGCUGGCACGUGAGCUACCCAGAUACAUCGUGAGCGCCACCGGCUUACUCUUCCAUCUGGUGAGCUAGAUUUUGUCACACUUCUCCAUACUUGAAACCUCUAGUUUGAUUUGGACAGAGAACCCUAACUCUAUCGUUUGAAUUCUAGAUUGUGUGAGGUUUGGAGAAUCUGCGUUUUGGGUUUAAAGAGGAGAGCCCGAAGCUGAGGCUUUGAUUGAAUCACCGUUGAAGGAGAAGGGAUUUGAAGGCUCUAAAGAAAUCGAGUUUCAUGUCGAAGGCUAUCGUAGCAGAGGAGUUAAUUUUGGAGAAGAAGAAUGGACUCGAGCGUGUGCACUUGGGAUUUGGACAAAUGAUCAAAAGUCGGGAAC